GAGAAAAUAGAAUUUCAGGGCUUGGAAUAAAAUUGAACUUUUGAGAAAUACACCCCCCCCUUUUUUUAAUACCUUCUCUUUCGUCCUGCUUUAUUUGAAUUCUGGCAUAGUCAGCACCCGAGGAAAUUGGCCUUCUCUGUCACCAACAAGCAUUUUAGUGUUUGGCAAAGUUCGAAUUUCAGCUCUAAACGGCGACAGCUAAAUUGAAGAGUUACAGAACUAGUGGAGAAUGCAAGGGAAAUUCUGCAGGCAAUUUCACAUAAUCCACAUUUCUAAAGGGUUCUGUGCCCAUGGUGUGAUAUGCAGAGUACAUCCACCUACGGCGCCAAGGAAGGACCAAUCUUACACCCAAACAAACCGAAACCUGCAUCAGGAAGAGCAUUUGUGAAGGUUCCCUCCUUCAGGAGAAAGCAAAUCAUAGUGACAGAACACCCUGUUUUAUCUCACUGACAAAAAAGAGGGUGAAAUAAAAAGGAAAAAAAAAUUUAAAAAAGAAGAAGAAAAAGGAGAAGAGGGUGGAAUUAGACCCACCUGAAAAAUCCUUCAGACUGAAGACUUAUCUACUGGACUUUGGAAAAAAGCUCACUAUCUCUCCAUAGUUUUUAUCUCACAUGUUUAAAACAGUCUCAUACCUAGUGUAUCUUCUUUCUCAAAGGAAGAUUUCAAAUACCUUCACC